CCGAACGUCCGGGACCAGGACGCAAAACAUGCCAUGCGGAUUAGUUCGCGCCCGCAGGUACUUUCGUACUUGCUUGCUCUCUCUUCUCUCUCUCUCUCUCUUUCGUCGUUCAGGGAUGCUAGGCGGUCGACGCUCGUCGCCGCCGGGCCCCUGAAGGAUCACUCCUUUCUCGUGCCGUCAGUGGACAGGUUUUCGGAACGCAACGGCGCGGGCUCUUGGAGUGCGGGUGGCUAUGGGCAUCGGGGCGGUAAAACGCUCGGGUGGACGUGGCGCGCGCAUUGUCGGGGCUCGGACCGGGGCGGAUCGCGGAGGCAAGCCAUCUGGCGGGGGGGGGUGGUCUCAAACACAGCAGCAGAACCCCGUGAAACAACAAAUCGUUAUGCGAUGUCGGGCGAGUUGCGUCUCGCCGAGCUCUUCGUGAGUUCGAAACAAAGCGCCACCCACAAACCACACUAAACUCUGAAUCUGANCUCAAAAGGAGGCGCAGCGCCCCGCGCGCGGCGCCUUCUCAACCUUUAACGUU
rnacentral:misc_RNA from 1 species